GUCAUACCAUCAGACUAGAACCAGGUAUCGUCAUACCAUCAGACUAGAACCAUGUAUCGCCAUAUCGUCAAACUAGAACCAGUUAUCGUCAUACCGUCAGACUAGAACCAGGUACCAUCCCGACAUCCGACUUUGGCAUGGAUCUUAACAUCAUCAGUCGAUGGCAGUGUAAUGCCAAGCUAUCACGCUUAACUUGAGAUAAGUCUAUUUCAAUCUCUUUCUGUUUUCAGGGACACUCUCUCUGGAGGUGCCGGUAGACAACGUGAAUGCUUGUUAAACGAAUUUAUAAAGAAUAAAGUUUCUUAUAUAAA